CUCGUGAGCAGCGAGUGCCUGCAGCCUCAGACGCGCCCCUUUGCGACACGGUAUCUGACCUUGCACGUUUGUGACUUGCCCAAGCCCUGUAACCAGGAAAGCAGACAGUACGCUCCCCCUCAGAGCCGUGGAGAGGGCAGAGCAAGUCCCUCUGCAAUAAACACACGUCUGCCUUCAACACCCAUUUACUGAGCAUCCAUUGUGUGCCGGGCUCCAUGGAUGCAGGACUCGGCAACACCACGGAAGCCCAUGAGUUCUUCUCCUCAUCUUAGUGAGGAUGACGAUUGGGCACGUUACUGCCCAGACUCUCUGAAAUGAAUAAACGAAUGAUAGGCCAAACGAAACAUCGCAGAACCAAAAUCUGUCUUCCCUCAGAGACAUGAAACCGGUUCUCCUUUGAGUGACUCCCUCAUCAGUUCCUAUCCGUGCCUCAUCUGGCCAAGUCACUGAGCCCUGCCGCAGCCACCAGCCAGCCCGGUUCCGGUUCUGUCUCUAAGCAUCCACGAGGU